CGUUUAUAAGCAGAGGUUGGAAGCCAUCUGUCAUGGAUGCUUUAGUUGAGAUUUCUUCAUUGAAGGCGAUUGCACUAGACGACUGUGGCAUUCGUACAGAACCCCCUGUCGUCUCACGGACUAUUGACCCGUACACCACUAAUCCGCUGCCACCAACCAGGUCCUCCCCGGUAAAUUACUUAGUCUCAGUCAGGUUCUCAAGUUAACAAAGAAGAGUGUAGUUUAUUUCAGACACAAACAAACUUUAACUGCAUUCCAAAUGUUGUUGCUCUUUACCUUCUUAGUCUUAUUUUAUCCUGCUCCAUCUCUUCUACCUCCCCUCACACAAGAACCAACUGCACUAACUGUCUCUCUUAUUUCCAACUGUCUGCCAACUGCUUUUCCAACUGCCUUUCCCAACCAACCAACCCACUAAAACCAACCAACUACCCACCAUCAACUAACUCAAACCUCGGGCUAAACAGGUAGGCUCCGCCUCUGGCUUUCCUAUUGGUCUACAUUUUUAACCCUUUCUCUCUCCCCCUGUACAGACAGUUUCUAAACGAGCGGGCAAACGCCACAAUGACCUACAAUCUAUGAUUCUGUGGUUUCUGUCUAAACUUUUUGGAUUGGUCUUCACAUAAUAAGACAGGUCUCAAUGUUUUUGUCAACCCCAGUCUUGGUAGGAUUGAAACCACUGCAUUGUAACAAUUGGCACAAUCCUCCAAAAAAAGGAAAACCUUCCAAAAAAAGAAUCCUGUAAUCUGUACAUUACCUACAGCAUAUCAUUAUUGAUAUCAUUAUUGAUGCAGUCCAUGGACUCCCGCAAACUACAGGAUGAGAGCAUUAUCCGAUGAAUACUGUUUUGUUUUGUUCUGUAGUUAGUAGGAUAUAAAAACCAUACAACGAUAAUUACGAACUGCUGCCGUACCCCCACCCCCAAAAAGGGGCGAGAUUGCUACAUUAGAAAGGGGAAAUAAAGUCAAAUGAGCAUAUGCAGAAGGAGAAAAAUCUCUAUCCUUUCUCAUUACCACUGUAGUUUGCUAAGGAUGAAACUAAUGGGCCAUGGAAAUCAUGCUGGAAUGAGAUUGUUAAAAAAAGAAAUUGACUGAAUCAGGAAGGACCAGGAGUUCUACUAUUACAUCCUGCUCUAAAAUUUUAUGUCUCUUUUCUGUUCCCCAAGUCUCUUUCCAUAUUUUAUGUUCCCAAAGAGUUUUCAGCAGCCGCUGGUCUUAACCAACAACCAGAUUUCAACUGCAUUAUGCCACAGCUAUUCCCUGAGCCACUGCAUUACAAAAGCAGAUAAGAAGAGUCUUGCUGGAUCAGACUAGAGGUUCACCAAAAUCCAAGGCUCUGCUUACAACAGGGGCCAACUUCCAGGAAGCCCAGGAAGGAGGGAAGGCAGCGGUCCUGAGCCACUGAUGCUCCCCAACAACUGAUAUUCAGUGGUAUAUGUUAAGUUGUGGGUGAACAUAUCAGACGACACAGCGAUUCUUCAAACAGCUCUUGUUUAUUCACAGGCCAGCACAGAACUGAACUGAAGGGUUCAGCCAGCCUGCUUAUAUGGAGCUCCACUACAACGCAACAGUAACCAUUUUCUGUAACUAUCCAAUCACUGAAUGCCACUUUCAAUCCCUUAUUUGCAUAUGUGGACCUGAGUGAAAACUAUCUACAGUAUCCCCCUGCCGGCCCAGGGUGAGAACUUAAGUACAUAACAGUAUACUAGCUCAGCAUUUGGAAGUUCCAUAAAUCCAUCAUGAGUAAUAGAAAAUUAUAUUCCAUGAAUUUGUCCAGGGCUUCUUUUUCAGCUGCAACCUGCUGGAACUCAGUUCUGGCACCUCUCAGGUGGGUGCCAUUGCCAUUCUAAGAGAACAAGGGACAUAUUCAUGGUGAGUUCUGGCAUCUCUUUUUCUAGAAAAAUAGCACUGAAUUUGUCUAAUGAAAAUAAUAAUAUAACAAUAAUAAUAAUAAUUUAUUAUUUAUACCCGGCCCAUCUGGCUGGGUUUCCCCAGCCACUCUGGGCGGCUUCCAACAAAAUAUUAAAAUACAAUAACCUAUUAAACACUAAAAGCUUCCCUAAGCAGGGCUGCCUUCAGAUGUCUUCUAAAAGUCUGGUAGUUGUUUUUCUCUUGACAUCUGAUGGGACGGCGUUCUACAGGGCGGGCGCUACUACCGAGAAGGCUUCUCGCAGCGAGGGAACUGCCAGAAGGCCCUCGGCGCUGGACCUCAGUGUCCGGGUAGAAUGAUGGGGGUGGAGACGCUCCUUCAGGUAUACUGGGCCGAGGCCGUUUAGGGCUUUCAAAGUCAGCACCAACACUUUGAAUUGUGCUCGGAAACAUACUGGGAGCCAAUGUAGGUCUUUCAAGACCGGUGUUAUGUGGUCUCGGCGGCCGCUCCCAGUCUCCAGUCUAGCUGCUGCAUUCUGGAUUAGCUGCAGUUUGAAGGUUAGCUGCCACCACAUACUCUAGGGAGCCUUCCUAACUGUAUUCCAUGAAGGGUGAACAAUAAUAAUCAAGUUCUGCACACAUUUAAGUCAAUAAAAACAAUAGCAUCAACUAGUCCAAACUCUUCAUCAGGCAAGGGGAGGAAAUGCUGGGUAUCUCAAGAGCUUUUGUACACUAAUGACACUCCCAUCACCUCAGAACCUCCAAGUAUUCCUUUUUCCAGAGAUGGUUCUGAAUUUACAGAAGCCAUCCCAGCUUCUGAUUUGAUCCUGGAAUGUCCUGCUUUUCCUUAGGAUGUCCCUAUUUUCAUCAGAGAAAAGUUGGAGAGUGUGGAGUUAUCAGACCACCAAGCCAUCUAAAGGCAGCCCUGUAUAGGGAAGUUUCUUAAUGUUUAAUGUUUUAUUAUUACUAUGUGUUGUAAGCUAUGGGGCUAUCUGUUUAGCCCAUUUUAGUGUUGGCUAAGUUUUAAAAUCUUCCUGGAUGUUUUAACUGUGUAUUGAUAAAAUGUAUUUUUUUUCUGACUGACGGUCGAAUAAAAAGGAUGAUGAUGAUGGUGUGUUGUAAGCAGCCCAGAGUGGCUAGGGCAACCCAGUCAGAUGGAUGGGGUAUAAAUAGUAAAAUUAUUAUGAAAUAGAAUAUCCCUAUUUUCAUGAGAGAAAUGUUGGAGGGCAUGUCAUCCCUGACCAUAGGCCAAGUUGCCUGGAGCUGAUUAAAGUUGUUAUCCAGUACAUAUAGAGGGCACCAGGUUGGGGAAGGCUGGUCUGUAGGAUUAUAGCCUCAUUCUGCAGAUGGGCAGGAUCUUGUUUACUGAUUGUGCAAAAGAAGGCUGCUGACCUCUGUUUCAGGAAACUAAAUUAAGUUUCAUUGCUAGCAAAGCCCUUUUCUUAAAAUGUUACACGUGAGUCUCUUAGUUUAGGGCAACACCACUGUAUGAGAGAAAUCUAAAGCAGUGGAUUAUUGAGAUGUGAACGAUUUGGAAAGAGUUCUUUUGAAACGUAGAGGUCAAAUGAGCAUUGUCAACUAUAGAUCUGUCGCUUAGAAGCAGAGAGGUGCUUUGUUACUCCAAAGGCUGUCAGGAGCAAAGUUUCUCUCACACUGAGGGACCCAAGUCAUUCUUCAUUGACUUCAAUAGAUAUUGCAUCAGCUAUGCAGGAAGGGGAGGAAUUGUGGAGUGGGGGAAAAAAAGACUGAACUUCUUUUGGGAGGAAAAAGGAGUAUUCUGCAAAGAAACAGAGUUGUUUUCGUGCCGGCUGCUAUGAAUACAACUGAGGAAUCCUCAUCUAUGCUCUAGUCCCACUGUUGCUGAACCACCCUUUUCUCUGCUGACUUCCCACAGAAAGUGUUUUUCUCUCACCACUUAAAUUCUGUCAGUCACACAACAGGAGACGUUGACCUCCCUAUUCCCUUCUUUCAGCCUGAAUCUUUACUUCUAAUGACAAAUGAAUGACAAAAAUCAAUCCCUUCUGGUUCUGAUAAUCUGCACAUUUAUUUUUGGGGGGAAAGAAAGCUUGGAAUUAAAAUGUUUAAGAAGCCAAACUAGAGGAAAGGAUAUAAGAAGCUCUAUUUUCUUUCUUUCUUUCUUUCUUUCUUUCUUUCUUUCUUUCUUUCUUUCAGAAUCAUCUUUUUCGUAAAGGAUGAUAAGAAUUAGAUAAUGGGGCAUGCACAAACACACAAAUAAAUUAUUAUUUUAUAAUAUCGCCACAAGGCAUGGAAUAAAGAUGUGUUGCUUAAUGACAUGUUCCCUAAUCUGCAAAUAGCAGUUGGGAAUAUCUUGAUAACCAAAAUCCGUUCAUUAUAAACACAUUUCUUGGGCUGGGGUAUUGUUUAGGGGGUUUUGUUGGUGGGUGGUUGUUGUUGAUGUUAUUCUUUCAAUUUUUAUUUUGGAUCUUACGCUUUAUGGGGAAAUUGUUCAAUUUGGUUGUGUACUUUUUGAUGUUUAUAACUGCACUUGUUAUGUUUGUAGUUAUGAAUUUUCUUUUAUGUUGUUAGCCGCCUUGAGCAUGGUUUUCACUUUAGAAAGGAAGCAUUCAAAUACAAUGGUACCUCGGGUUAAGAACUUAAUUCGUUCUGGAGGUCUGUUCUUAACCUGAAACUGUUCUUAAACUGAGGUACCACUUUAGCUAAUGGGGCCUCCCACUGUCGCCAUGCCACCGGAGCACGAUUUCUGUUUUCGUCCUGAAGCAAAGUUCUUAACCCAAGGUACUAUUUCUGGGUUAGCAGAGUCUAUAACCUGAAGCGUCUGUAACCUGAAGCAUCUGUAACCCGAGGUACCACUGUACUGUAAAAGGAUUGAUUGACUGACCUUUGCAUACAUUCUUAGUCCAAGGAAAUGUCUCUCCCGGUAAUCAACAUUCUUUGCAGGACCUCAUUUUAGGUUUCAGUGGAUAUCAGCAAAGGCCCUGGGCGGUUUGUGGACAGACAAUUUCUAAGUUCUGCUUUCAAAAAGAUUUCAAAUUAAACAGCAGCAAAGCCAUUUAAGAGCAUUUAUGGAUGGAUGUCCCCCCACACACACAUUUGGGGCAGAUGGUAUGGGACACCAUACAUUUAAUUUAAGGGUGCCGGGAAUUAUAGAUCUGCAUGGGGGGAAACAACAGAUGAGAAAUGUUGAUCUUUCUCCCCAUCUCCCCCACUAGUUCCUGAUGUGGAUCUUCCCUCACCCCUUCUUCCCUGGCCAGGAGGGCGAUACCAUUUUGAGGUCCAUCUCAGGUGCCAAAAUGACUUGGACUGGCUCUGAUGCAUAGGAAUGUGUUACAUGCCUGUGGUGUAAACCGUCCUUAGAAACUGCAAUCUUCAUCAGUCACUAGACAUCUAGUAGAUGAGAAAUGUAACACAUUGCUUAUUGGGGAGGGGGGAGUCUAUAACGCUUUCAAAGUGAGUGUCACAUUUUCUUUUAACAGCCGCUGUUCACGCCAGAAAGUCCUGCCAAUUAGUUCUUCUUCAAAUUAUGUUGCCAGUUGUUCCCACCACUUUCGAAUCUAACUUUUGCAUAGGCUUUAGAAUAUGGUUACCAGAUUUUUUUUUCAAUGAAUCCGGGGAUAGAUUUUUUUUUGAAGCUGAGUAGCAACAGGGAGUCAGUAGUGGGAAUGGUGAGGCAAAAGACCCUGGGCCCAAGCAUACAUGCAUAUUGUAUAAAAAUGCAAAGCCCUUAUUUCGCAGCCUGUGAAACAUAAAUGCCCAGAGUUUUUUAAAAACUGGGCAAUGGCUGCCCGCAACUCCCGAGCCUCCCCUAAUCAGUCAAAACAAAGGGGGAAGGGGGCAGGAGAUAGCACAAGACACAUAUAUGGGGACUUCCGGUGAGGAAAAAUGGCAGGUGCCAUGGCAGCGAGAAGCUCCUGAAGCCAGCCAGAGCCAACUGCGCCACCAGGCUGACUCCAGGCUGCUGAGGCUGCCGCUGCCCCAGGGACAGAUUUGCAAAUCUGGGGACUGUCCCCAGGAACCGGGGACGUCUGGUAACCCUACUUUAGAACUCUUUCCCUUUCUUCUCAUCAACACAACACUUACGGUUAUAAUAAUACAUUGACACAGAACUUGAUAGGCCACAAUAAAUUGCAUCUGUUGGAUAACUGCUAAAAGGUUAUAUGCAGCAAGUUUUGCGGCCUUAAAGGCAACACCUCAGCACAAAUAUGAGAUCCAGAACUCAUAACAGCCGGGGGCCCAGUCUUCUUGUCAUCAUGAUGAUGUAGCUUCGCUCGUUGAGGUACAGCAUUUGGAUUCAUGCUGCAUUGCCUGGCUCUGUCCAUCAAAUGCACUUACUAUUAAGUAAGUACACUCCAGAAUGGAUUCGCUUCUGCUGCUACACACUAAAAAAACAUGAGACCUGCAGUCAGGGGAGUGAAAAGGAAGGGGGAAAGCAAAGCGGAAGGGGGAAAUAAAUUGACAGCAUUGUACGUCGCAUUAUUGCACUCCUUGGCAUAUUCAAUUCCAUCCGUAAAAGAUGUGUGAAAUUCAAGUGCUGGCAGUGUGCCGUAUUGCUCCCACAAUAUGAGAGAUAUAGAAUUUCUAUGAGUGAUAGCUGUCAUGGGCACAGAGGAGGUUGUUAGAGAACACUUUCUUUGUUACCCUUCCAAAAGGAUGCUGGUGUAAAAUACAUUGUAAUGUAAAAUACAUUGGCUCCUUUGUUCUUUUGUGCACACAAAUCCGCCUUCCUCGGGCUCUCCUUUACAUAGAUCAAUGUGCCUGCAGACCUAUUUCUGUGCACACAGUUCUGCACACACAGCUGGGGAACGUGGAGACGCGGUGUGCGCUGGGAUGAAAGCCCUCUUGUGUGCAUGCAAAUGCCAUUGUUCACAUGCAGGGAACUGGAGAGAGGGAUUGGAUUGUUACAUUUUUACUUUGUGAACAAAUUGUAUUUCUGGCAGACAGUGUCGUGGGUAGGAAUAUAGGAAGCUACAAUGGUACCUCGGGUUAAGUACUUAAUUCUUCCGUUCUUAACCUGAAACUGUUCUUAACCUGAAGCACCGCUUUAGCUAAUGGGGCCUCCUGCUGCUGUUGAGCCUCUGUUCUGAUCCUGAAGCAAAGUUCUUAACCUGAGGUACUAUUUCUGGGUUAGUGGAGUCUGUAACCUGAAGCGUAUGUUACCUGAAGCGUAUGUAACCCGAGGUAGCGCUGUACUUUAUACUGAGUCAGAUUGGUCAAUCUGGGCAGUGACGUGCGGUGAAAUUUUUCAUAGGGUUAGAGCCAGAGGCACCAGCUUGCAAGGGCGAUUGGGCAGAGGGGUGUCCUGACAUAAUGUGCGUGAGCCUUGUGCCUCCUUCUCUAAGCCAGGCAGAAGCUUCCCAGGCUUUGGGAAGGAGGCCCCUGGGGAGCAUUUAGGGAACUAGCUUAGUCCCCCUAGUCCACUAACCUCACGCCACUGGUUCAUCUAGCUCAGUAUUGUCUCAACAGGUCUCCAAAGUUUUGGGCAGGAAGUUCUUCCCAGCCCUACCCAGAGAGCUCAAGGAUUGAACCUGGGAGCUUCUGAAUGCAAACCAGGUGCUCUGCUAAUCAGCUAUCUGUCUCUGCUAAUCGUCACGGUCCUCUGUGUGCCAGAAGCGGUUUAGUCAUGCUGGCCACAUGACCCGGAAAACUGUCUGUGGACAAAUGCCGGCUCCCUCGGCCUGAAAGUGAGAUGAACGCUGCAGCACCAUAGUCGCCUUUGACUGGACUUAACCAUCCAGGGGUCCUUUACCUUUUACCUUUAUGGCCAUGAUAUUAUUCAGGUGGAUUUGCUCUGCAAAGCAGUCACUCGUGGUUCAUACACUGUGCUUUUCUGAGGACCAGUGAGACAAGUGAAACUGAGUCGCUUCGAAACCAGUCCCAGUUCUUAGUCUCAGUUUCAUUUAGAAUGCCCAAGCAGUGAUGGGCAAGCCCUUCCUCUGUACUGAUUUGGAACGGGCUAAAACAAGAUUUUGGGCAUCACAUAGCAGAUAUUGGGCAUCACAUAGAUGACACUCAUAAUCCAUUCCAAUACUAUGAUUCUAAGACUUCCACAUUUUAAAGAUAUUAUAAUGAAGAAUAUAGUUUAAAUGUAGUCCAAACUACAGGGAAAGACCCGUUCUGUUGCAGACAAUGGAAAUUUAGCUUCAUAACUGCACAUAUUAUUAUAAUAUUUCUCCAUAUAUCAGGAAGAAUGGAUGGCCAGUCCCUUUCUAAACACAUUCAUUUUUAAUUAUAACAAAAUCAGGAGACGGCCUUUCUUUGUGAGAGCAGGAAUUCUUAUCCAUUAAUGCCGCCAUUUCCUCGAGGCUGGAUAAUUCCUUGUCACCAUAAAACCCAAAUUAAUAACAAUUAGUCUAUUAAUAAUAAUUUGCAAAUUAAUAACAUCUAAGAAAGAAGAAAUGAUGUUAUACAGUAUGAGGAAGAAUAUACAUUUGUUUGCAAGUUGGUUGGUGAAUAUAAUAACAUAGAUAAAGGCAUAAAGUAAUGAAUAUACAUAAAGUAUAUCACAAGGGAAAGGGGACAAUGUCUAAAUUAUGUACAUAAUUGUCAGGGAACUGCCAUCGGACGGAAGGGAGGUGAAAGGGCUCACACAGGUUGGGAGAGACUCAGCAGCUGAAGAGGGAACCAGCAGGGAGGUGAAAGGGCUCACACAGGUUGGGAGAGACUCAGCAGCUGAAGAGGGAACCAGCAGGGGGAGAGGAGCUGAGCUGGAGGGAUGGCUCAGAGACACUUCCAGCGAAAACAGUGGGGAGGUUUCAGGACCUCCUGUAAGAACACCCACUCCUCGCCGGAAACUGUCACGCAGAGAGUCCAGAAGACGUGUUUCCGUUAAGGAGCUUUUAUGUUGGAAGCGAUUACGAAGCAACCACUGUCGGAAUCUGCUAGUGACUAGAGGAGCCAUGUCUGAGGGCUCCGUCACAGACAGAGGUUUGUGGACUUGAACAAACUCUGAGGGGAUACGAUUUUACGCACAAGCAGCUCAUCAUCCCAUCACAGCAUUCCGACAGUCUUUGAAAGCAGCUUGUGCAGGAGAAGGCAUCAUGAGCAACCCAGCCGGAACCGGAGAAGCAGGAGCUGGAGCGGGUCCAAGCCUGGAAGAAAGGUACCGGGUGUUGGAGGUCCAGCUAGCGAUGCAGACGGCGAGGCUUGAGGAGAGGAGGGCUCAGGAUGCAGACAAAAGGGAAAGCCACCCAGCUCGCCAGAAAGGUACCAGGAUUGGUGCAGAAGUUUGGGGGGGAGCCCAAAAACUAUCAUGGCUUUCGGACAGAAAUGCAAUAUGCCCUCAAUCUGCAGUUUGAUGAAUUCCCUGACGAGGAAUCACGAGUGGCUUUCGUGAUUGAGCAUCUUACUGGGUUAGACCCCUGAUGGCAGCGAAUAGUGACGUCCUAAAGGACACGAUGAAGUUCUUUCGCGCCAUGGAUCUGAUGUUUUCCAGCGAUAUUGAACAGGGAGUGGUGCGCAGACAGUUAAUGGCUUGCAAACAGGGAGCCGAUCUGUCCGUGAGUACUGGACUGAGUUCACCAUGCUUGUUCACAGAUUGGGGUGGGACUUAUCGGCGGAACCCAUUCAAAUGCUCUUUGAAGAAGGGCUUUCUUCGGCUGUGAAAGACGAACUUUCCCGGGCGCCCAGGGCGGAGUCUAUGGACCAGCUGACCAAAUCAGCGCUGACCAUAGGAGCGCGCCAGGAGGCGAGAGCAUUGGAGAGGCGGGAAGGGAAGGGGAACGUUGGAAGGAGUUCCGCAUUCCAGACAUUCCAGAGCCAACUUUCCCGCCGGCAGAGCCAAUGGAAAUCGGAACAGCGCGCGCGCGCAGUUUCAAAGCCCAGUGAGGGGAAAGAAGGAGGGAAAAGGCGCCCGGAAAUGCUAUCUCUGCCAACAGCCAGGUCACUUUGCCAGAGUCUGCCCCCAGAGGAAGGAAUGGCAAGGGAUGGUAGGAGCUGUGGAUGGAAGAGAGGAAGAAAUACCGGAGCAAGUAAAGCCAACGCCUGGCUGCCACUGUCGGGGCACAGCAGCCAGGCCAAAGAGCAGUGAGAGUGCCCACGCCAGAACCUCCUAAACCCGCCCUAGUGAUAGAAGUGACGCUAGAGCUGCCAAACGGACACCCUCUAAAGAUAAAGGCGCUGUUGGACUCAGGCAGCUCCUGCAAUUUCAUGAGCAAAGAGUUUGCAGCUGAACACCAGAUACAGACGAUCCCUUUAAGCAACCCCUGCAGGUGACCACGAUCGAUGGCAGGGAGCUGUUGGGAGGAGAAGUCAGCUUGCAGACCGUCCCAAUGAUAAUGAAGGUAGCAAGGCACACCGAACUGAUAGCUUUUAAUGUGGCCACCUUGGGAGGAGCUCCCAUUAUAUUGGGGAUGAGCUGGCUAGCGUUACAUGAUCCGCUGGUGGGCUGGCAUCAGAGAGUGGUUUCUUUUGGUUCAGCACAUUGCUUAGAACACUGCAAAGAGGGAAAGGGUUUGGCAGGGGCCCAAGCCACCCUAGCAGGGACUGAAGUAACGGAGAACGUGAAGGUACCACGACAAUAUGCAGAUCUCCGUGACGUCUUCAGCGAAAGGAAGCUGACCAACUACCCCGCAUAGACCCUUUGACUGUCAAAUCAAUUUACUCCCUGGAGCACAGCUCCCUGUAGGCAAGCUGUACGCCAUGUCAGACAGAGAGAUGCAGGAGUUAAGAGAGUUCAUUGACAAGAACCUGAAGAGAGGGUUCAUCAGAGAGUCCAGGGCGGUGGGGGCAGCCCAGUGUUUUUGUGGAUAAAAAAACACGAACAAGCCGAGGCUGGUGUGUGACUUCAGGGCCUUAAAUGCAGUGUCAGAACCAGUGGCCUUCCCUAUGCCCAGGAUUGACGACAUUUUGACAAGGGUGCGGAAGGGAAAGAUUUUCACAAAGCUGGACCUAAGGGGGGCGUACAACCUGGUACGAAUAAGGAAGGGGGAUGAAUGGAAAACCACUAUGUUCACCCCUUUAGGGGCAUUUGAAUAUUUGGUUAUGCCCUUCGGCCUACAAGCAGGCUCCGCAACAUUUCAAUCGUUUAUGAACCACGUCCUGGGGCCUUUGCUUUACAAGAAUUGUGUGGCCUUUUUAGACGACGUGUUGGUGUAUUCUGAGAAUGAGGAGCAGCAUGUGAGAGACGUCAGAGAAGUGUUGAGCAGGCUGCAAGCCAGCCAGCUGUGGGUGAAACUGGAGAAGUGUCAGUUUCAUACCAAGGAGGUGGAAUUCCUGGGGUAUCGCCUGUCAGACAAGGGAUUGGCCAUGGAUCCCGGCAAGGUCCAGGCGGUGCUGGAAUGGAAAACACCCAAAACAAGGAAGGAUGUGCAGAGGUUCCUAGGAUUUGGGAACUUCUAUCGUAAGUUCAUCCGAAACUUUGCCCACCUGACGGCGCCCAUUACGGACUGUCUCAGCAGUAAGAAGAAGUUCGUUUGGACUGAGGAGGCGGAGCGAGCAUUUGAGGAACUAAAAGGGCCUUCGCCUCGGAACAACAACUCCUGCAUGUGGAUUUACAAAAACCGAUGAGAGUGGAAACUGACGCAUCAGACAGAGCGGUUGGGGCGGUGCUUCUGCAGCCAGGGAAGAAGGAGUCAGAGUGGAGACCGUGUGCCUUUUUUCGCGAAAGCUGAACAAAUCCGAGAGGAACUACACGGUGUAUGACCGAGAACUACUAGCCAUUCAUGAGGCGUUCCGGAGAUGGAGGCACCUGCUAAUUGGCGCACAACAUAAGGUGCAAGUGUGCACUGACCACAAGAACCUAGAGUAUUGGAGGACGGCACGAGUGCUCAACCAACGGCAAGUGAGAUGGGCCCAGGAGUUCUCCAAAUUUAACUUUGAGAUUUGUUACGUGCCAGGCCCAGAGAACAUUAGGGCGGACGCUCUCUCACGCAAACCUGAAUAUUUGGAGGGGAGGGAGCACCCGAAGAGAGACAUGUCAUUCCAGAGGACCGCUGGGUGUGUGGGGCGGCAUUGGUGGGACAAAGAGAACUGGUAGAGGAAACAGAGAAUGAUGAAUACGCCCAGAAUAAGCUCAGAGGUCUUAGGGGUGAGGGAGAGGAACCAGGGGUUUCGAGGAAAGAAAUGGAGCUUUGUAUUACAAAGGGGCACUGUAUAUCCCUGAAGGAGAGUUAAGGGGAGGGUACUCAAGCAGUUGCACGACAGCCCUACGGCGGGGCAUUUUGGACAACACAAAACCAUGUGGUUGGUCACCAGGGAAUUUUGGUGGCCUAAGGUGGGGGAAGAUGUACGUGAGUAUGUAAGAGGGUGCGAGCAAUGCCAGCGAGCCAAGGGGAAAGGCGGGCGCCGGCGGGGCUAUUAGAACCCUUACCAACCCCAGAACGACCUUGGGAGGCAGUGUCGAUAGAUUUUAUGACUGAUCUGCCGAAGUCCAAAGGGAAAACAGCCAUCAUGGUGGUGGUAGACCUACUAACAAAGAUGUGCCACUUUGUAGCUUGCUCGCAUGCAGUCACGGCGGAAGAGACAGCGAAGUUAUUUGUAGAACACAUUUUUAGGUUGCACGGGGUGCCAUUGAGGGUGGUCUCAGACCGAGGAAAACAAUUUACUUCCAGGUUCUGGAGGAAGCUCAUGAGCUUACUGCAGGUGGAGGUCAAUUUUCGACUGCCCGGCACCCUGAAACCAACGGGCAGGCGGAAAGAGCAAACGGUGUCCUCCAGCAAUACCUGAGGUGUUAUGUCAAUGACAGAGAGAAUGACUGGGUAGAAAAGUUGGCGCUGGCGGAAUUUGCCUACAACAAUGCCGAGAAUGUGUCCACAGGGAUGAGCCCCUUCUUGGCUAAUUAUGGGUGUCAUCCAAGGUCUUUUCCAGGGGGGAGAUGGGGAGAGAUGGAGCGUCCCGGCAGCCGAGCAUUUUGUGGAAGAAAUGGAAGCAAUCCAUCGUCAGCUCCAACUCAACUUAGAAAGGGCGAAGGAAGAAUACAAGAGGCAGGCAGACAAGAACCGAAGGGAAGGUGAAACCAUAAGGGUGGGAGAUAGGGUGUGGCUGUCAACCCAAGGGUUGCCGUUCAAAGGAGGUUGUAAGAAAUUAAGACCCAGGAGGUUGGGUCCCUUUGAGGUCAUUCAACAGGUCAACCCAGUGGCUUUCAGGCUCCGGUUACCCAACCACAUGAAACUGCACCCAGUAUUUCACAGGUCGUUACUGUCACCGUACGAAGGGGGACGAGAAGGGAUGGCCACUCGGGGACCGGUCAUAGAAGAAAGAGAAUGCAGCAGCCAUGUGGCAGAAAUCCUCGACGCCAGGUGGAAGGGGGAUCAGGUGGAGUAUUUGGUAGCGUGGGAAGGAGAACCGGAGUCAGAAAACACUUGGGUAAUGGCCGAAGAUAUCAAUGACGAGGUAUUGAUAGAAACGUUCCAUCAAAGGUUCCCAAGGAAACCUCAGCCUGUGGAGAGGUUCCGGAGGGAAUACUUUGGGACCACUGAUGAGGGGAGGAGUUGGAAGGAUUCCCGGACUCGGAAGGGGAAGGGAGAUGGACUCUGAGGAGGAGGUGUACUUCGAGACCAGGAACCGCAACAGGUGGAGAGAAGUGUUCGAGACAUCGGAAGAUGAAGGAACUUCAUUCCGGGGUUUUGCCUCCUCACCGCCCGUAGAGGAGGGGGCGAGAGGGGGUGAAGGGGGCCCUGGAGGGGAGGUGGAUGUCAGGGAACUGCCAUCGGACGGAAGGGAGGUGAAAGGGCUCACACAGGUUGGGAGAGACUCAGCAGCUGAAGAGGAACCAGCAGGGAGGUGAAAGGGCUCACACAGGUUGGGAGAGACUCAGCAGCUGAAGAGGGAACCAGCAGGGGAGAGGAGCUGAGCUGGAGGGAUGGCUCAGAGACACUUCCAGCGAAAACAGUGGGGAGGUUUCAGGACCUCCUGUAAGAACACCCACUCCUCGCCGGAAACUGUCACGCAGAGAGUCCAGAAGACGUGUUUCCGUUAAGGAGCUUUUAUGUUGGAAGCGAUUACGAAAGCAACCACUGUCGGAAUCUGCUAGUGACUAGAGGAGCCAUGUCUGAGGGGCUCCGUCACAGACAGAGGUUUGUGGACUUGAACAAACUCUGAGGGGAUACGAUUUUACGCACAAGCAGCUCAUCAUCCCAUCACAAUAAUCUACUACAAGGAUGGGCAACCUAUGGGCCUCCAUUCAUUACUGUACUACAAUUCCCAUAAUCCCAUACCACUUAUCUUGUUUAAUGGAGUUUAAUGAUAGGAGUUGAGUUCAACAAUUUCUAGAGGAUCACGGGUCUCCCCUCCUGAUCUACACAGCUAGAGUCUAUUUAAAUGACGUAUUGCUUUAACAAUUCUGCAGUGUAUUAUUUAUUCAUUCCCAAUAUCAUCAAUAUGAAUGAUAUAUACAACCACAUCAGGUUUUAAUUAUUCAACACUUCAAUCUUUGAGAGUGAUACAAUUGAUAAUAUUUGGCAUUAGGACACAAAAAAGGUCAUUUAAUUGUACAAGUAGAAAAUUAAAUGCCGCACUGAAACUUUAGUAUGCUAGUGAUUUGCCCACAAUACCACAGGUGAGCUACAUAUUUCUGGGACAAUGUGAUGUGACGGAACCAUUAUGCUAUCACAUUGUCAAUGUGGUAUCUUGAGAAUAUGCCAACAUGGAGAUUGCCAAAGAAAUAGCAACCCACUAUUUAAUUUUAUGCAGAAGAUGCAUCAGUGCACUCACAAGACUGGUCACCAUGCCAGAAUACGGGGUAAAAUUAGGGCGAUUUCCUCACAUCACCACAACACUACGCUUGUCACUGCACCUCAGAAAACUGAUUUUAGUGACAGUCAUUAGGGGACUUAGUCAAAAUGGCCUGCAUGGGGGACAUUUUGACUAAUGAGGGCAGGAUAAUGUCACUGGUUUCUAGCCAGUGACUGACAUAUUUUUCCUAGAUUGCCCUCAAUAUGGUGUUGUUCCAGGCCUUUCUGGGAGUAAGGACCGCACGGUGGGAUCCACUUUUGUGGGACAAGGCCAUGCCUAGAGCAUUCUGGGGAGGAAAAAAGACAAAAUGCUGCCAUCCCACCAAAUUUUUCAAGUAAUUUACUGCCCUCUACUCAAUUCCUCCUGGUUUUCAGACCACUUUUUGGCCCUGUCAGAAUUUAAGCUGGAAGAUUGAACUUUUGACUCAGCCCUAUAACAUAGAAUCAUAGAACUGUAGAGUUGGAAAGGAGCCCAAGGUUCAUCUCAUCCAAAACCCUGCAAUGCAGAAAUCUCAACUGGAUUGUACAUGGCAAAUGGCCAACCAAUUUCUGCUUGCAUUUUAGUAUACAUGUUAUAGGGGACGCGGGUGGCGCUGUGGUCUAAACCACUGAGCCUCUUGGGCUUCCAGAUUGGAAGGUCGCAGUUCAAAUCCCUGCGACAGGGUGAGCUCCUGUUGCUCUGUCCCAGCUCCUGCCAACCUAGCAGUUCGAAAGCACACCGGUGCAAGCAGAUAAAUAGGUACCGCUGUGGUGGGAAGGUAAACAGCAUUUCUGCUAAGUUGUGGGUGAACAUAUCAGAUGACACAGUGAUUCUUCAAACAGCUCUUGUUUAUUCACAGGCCAGAACAGAAUUGAACUGAAGGGUUCAUCCAGCCUGCUUAUAUAGAGCUCCACUAGAACGCAACAGUAACCAUUUUCUGUAACUACCCAAUCACUGAACGUCACUUUCGAUCCCUUAUUUGCAUAUGUGGACCUGAACUAUCUACAGUAUCCCCCUGCUGGCCCAGGGUGAGAACUUCAGUACAUAACAGUUUCCAUGCACUCUGGUUUCCAUCACGGUGUUCCGUUGCGCCAGAAGCAGUUUAGUCAGGCUGGCCACAUGACCCGGAAAAGCUGUCUGUGUGGACAAACGCCGGCUCCCUCGGCCUGAAAGUGAGAUGAGCGCUGCAACCUCAUAGUCACCUUGGACUGGACUUAACUGUCCAGGAAUCCUUUACCUUUUACCAUACAUGUUAGUAUAGCAUGGAGAUAGUAAAGAUUUCACUGACUUCUGAACCCAGUUUGGAGCUCAUUGUGCUCCCAGUGACAUCAUCAGGCUUGCAAAGUCUGCCCACCCUAAGGAAUCCCACCCCCAAGUUCCCAUGAGCCCUCAUUCCUACAACAUGGUGGUGGAAAAAAUCUUCUGCCGGUAGUCCUUCUAUUUUUGUUUAUGAUUUCUACAUGAGUUCCUCCUGGAUUUGAGAACUAGCAUCUGGAAACAUGUAUAGGAUCUGAGCUGGCUGUAGCAGCAUACUGUAGAUCCUGAGUUCUAAAACUUCCUUUAAAAUUCAGAAUAGAUUUCUUGAUCUAACUGUGUCCUCCACCUGAAAUGUAGACAAAAAAUGAGCAGUGCUAUAGAAUUCCAUGGCAGGAAAAAGAAAGAAUCAAUAGGAUAAAAUUAAAAAUGAUAUAUAGCCUCUCACACUGAGCAUGUUCAAACUGUUUUCUUGAAUUUAGAGUAAGCCUAAGUAACUGUGACCGGCUUUCAAUAUUUUCAGCUCCAGGGGAAAACAAAGCAAUUCUUUAGCAUUUCCAAGUCUUCGGCUGUAAUUUGUCUGCAUUUUUUUCCUGAAUGCCAUUCAGCAAAGAAGGCUUAUUAAUAGAGCUCCAUCUUCUGGUACCUAAUAAAAAGAUGAUUGGUUCAUAGACUAGGAAGAAGAGUCUUCAAAUCAUUGGGGAAAUAUAAUGAAAAAUUGAUCUUUCCCUGACAAGUGUUUUAGAGCUGACCUUUCCAGAGGCCAUGCAGAAUACUAAUAAUUCUCAUAAUUUUGCCUCCCCUUUUGCAUCUUUAUCCCACGGGAGAUGCUGAAUUCAAAUAAGGAUGCAAAUAUUUAGCAAAAACAAGGGUGGGUUCUGUGGCAAUCUGAAGACUAAAAAAAAAUCUGAGGUAGCAUGACUUUGGACAGUUUUCACCAAGAUGAUACCAUGCAGAUAUUUUGGACUAAAAUUCCGACCAGCCCCAGCCAUGGUAGCUAUAGCACAAAAAGUUAGAAAAAUGCAAGCUGUGCUGCUGACAGAAGUAAUACGACUCAUGCAACACGUUGGCGACUAAUAUACACACAAUAAUUACCAAAAUAAUUAUACAUUCUUUAUCAAUCUUCUGAAAGAAAUAUACCGUAUUUUUCGCUCUAUAGGACGCACCCAACCAUAGGACGCACCUUGUUUUAGAGGGGGAGAACAAGGAAAAAAAUUCUCCCCCUCUCUGCUCAGCGCCCCCUCAGCGAAGCGGCAGCAGAAACGGAACCCCUUCCAUUUCUCCUCCCGCUUCGCUGAAGGAGCGCUGCGCAGCUCUCCCUCUCUGCUGAAGCGGGAGAGUCUUGCUCUCCCGGCUUUAGCAAAAGGAACCUGAAGCCUUUGAAGCGCAGCGCGAGGUCCUGCUGCGCUCCAAAGGCUUCAGGCGGCUAUCCCUGAAGCCUGGAGAGCGAGAGGGAUCGGUGCGCACCGACCCCUCUCGCUCUCCAGGCUUCAGUGAAAGCAACGCGUAGCCUCAGGAGCAUGGAGGGAGUGCUCCCUCUGCGCUUUGGAGGCUUCGCACUGCUAUCCCUGAAGCCAAGGAGCCUGCAUUCGCUCCAUAGGAUGCACACACAUUUCCCCUUAAUUUUUGAAGGGGGAAAAGUGCGUCCUAUAGAGCGAAAAAUACGGUACGAAACCUUGUGCAAAGCCACAGAGACUUACGAACUACCCAACCUAAGAUGAACUUAUAAUGUCUGGUUUCAAUGGAUUUUUCAAAUGCUUAACUCAGUCUUUUGUUUUCUUUAUCUUUGUAGGUAAGUUAUCUUUGUAGGUAAGUUCAUGAAGGGUAAGUUCGGUGUUGUUCACAAUACUGAGAGAUGCUAGUGAAGUUGUAGAUGGAUGUUAAUGAAGUUGUAGACAGGGUGCCGGCGUUUUGCAGCUGUUUCGCCCUGGCAGUCCAAGUAAGGCCGCUGUUCGCCCCUGAUGGGGCCCUUUAACUGGGGCUUACAGGUAGCACACUCCCAAGGUAGUUUUCCAGGCUUCUUCAGUGGUCUAAUCUCAAAGCCUUGAUAAAUAUAUUGAUAUUCAAUUUCAUAAAGAAUACUAUUUCUUGGCUUAAGCUUAAGAGACUGAUUUCCGCAAUAUAGGAAGUGGUCACCUAAGUGGGUAGGCAUAUAUCUUGUAAAGACAGGGAAGUAACUAAAAUAUUGGGUUUUUUCUUAAGGUGCAAAUGAUAUGGAAAAUUAGUAGGUGUAGUUCUUCAGACAACAUGGCUUCAUUUUCAUGUGGAAGGUAAAGGUAAAAGGACCCCUGACCAUUUGGUCCAGUCAUGGCCGACUAUGGGGUUGUGGCACUCAUCUCGCUUUAUUGGCCGAGGGAGGCGGCGUACAGCUUCUGGGUCAUGUGGCCAGCAUGACUAAGCUGCUUCUGGCAAAACUAGAGCAGCACACAGAAACACUGUUUACCUUCCCACCGGAGCGGUACCUAUUUAUCUACUUGCACUUUGAUGUGCUUUUGAACUGCUAGGUUGGCAGGAGUAGGGACCAAGCAACGGGAGCUCCCCCCAUUGUGAGGAUUCGAACCACCGACCUCCUGAUUGGCAAGCCCUAGGCUCAGUGGUUUAACCCACAGCACCACCCGUGUCCCCUCCGGCCUAUAGUAGCUACCCAAAUUGAUUUUGAAGCCAAAGUUGAAACACGGUUAUAUGGUUCUCUCCUGGUGAAACAUAUACAGCUCAGAGAACCUAAGAAGAGCUUGCUGGAUCAGGGCAGAAGCCCAUCAAGCUGUUGGAAGCUAGUGCUGAGCCCUUGUGCUCAAAUAACAUCGUUCCUUGUUUCCUUCCAGGAUUCCAUCUUGGCCUGGCAGGAGAAGUUCUUCCAGGACCUCUUUGAGUGGCCUCCUAGGUCACAUUCAAGUUUGAGAAGGUCAUGAAGAAGCUGGAGGAGGAGCCCCAUGUCGUGAGGCAGCCCCAGAAGCUCCCUGAAGCAGUGGGCAAAGAUGGCGAUUUAUUGACAGAUGGAGGUUGAGUUUGCAAACUGAAUUUUGGGGCAAUCAAUCAAAAUUUGUAGAUCAGUUAAUUCUUGGCCCAACUACAAAUCCACUUCAGACCCCCCCUAGCCCCUCACAAUCUAGGCAUAAUUCCUGCAACAUCACAUCUCCAGGGAGUUUGGUAUUCAUAUAACACCUGGCAUUCCUACAAUUCUCCAGGGACUCUGGCACCAGUGAUUUAUUAAUUUAUUAUGAAUUUAUUAAUUAAUAUACCACUUAUAGGCCAAAAUGAUGCAGAAGAAACAAGACUUUCCUGCCUCUAGCCCCAGACUUGGUAGCCUUCCAGCCACUGGCCACCUUAUAGAUAAAUGGGCAGAUAGGAGGGAGUAGUUUUGACUCAAAUUGCAACCCAGUCCAGAGGAAAACUCCAAUGACCAUCUUGGUUGCCUCAGACAAAAGACGAGCAAUUCAAGCCAUCAAAGUCUGCAUAUGCUGGUGACAUCACAACAGCAGACAAAUGUGCCAAAUGAGUCUGAAAGCUCUGGAGAGUUUCACGAUGUGCCUCAGCACAGGGUUUACCUUGCCUUUAAUCCAUCGCCGAAAGACAAGUGUGAAUAGAAAUGGCGCACCUGAGGGAAAAAAUGAAGAUGUUGGAAGGGCAUUCACGGAAACUGUCACUGAUCUGUCGGAACCCCACACUUUUGCAGAAAGAUCUCUGCCAGGAAACUCCCACAGCUCCCAUAGAGAGGAAUGCUGAAGUGAAUUGAUGUAGAUCCCGCUGCCCUCAGGCAGACACCAUGGUGUCUUGACAAUUAAUUUCAGAUUACUAGUUACUAUACUGGGAGUAACAUUAGCAUAUUAGCGCCUGCAGGUUUGCAGUUUGGUACCCUACUGCAGGAAAUGUGAAUUUAGUCUAUUGAUUUUUGUUAGCACUGCCAUGUUGUUAUUACUGGAUUAUUGCCC
rnacentral:lncRNA from 1 species